rnacentral:misc_RNA from 1 species
GUUAGAUUGACACAACAUUAGUACCCACAAUUGCACCAAUUUUUGUGGGUACUUACUGAUUAAAGAGGGAAUCAACGAAUCUGAGAUCGCGAAGGACGGCAGCAGCAUCAAGAAUCCGAGAGGCAAGCUUAGUAGAGGACACCAGCGGCAUAUUAUCCGAAAGCAGCGGCAGCAAAAAAGAUUCAAAGUCGCGCCGCGGCAGCAGCUAGCGUCGACGGCGAAGAAAGAAUGGUGACCUUGGGAAG